GGCCCGGUAGCAAACGGACCGCACCUGCACCGAAUGAUCCCUUCAGACGCAACCAGCAGGAGUGCUCGUUCGACUCGAGCCCGGGCCA